UAUAUAUGCAUUUUGCACUUAACUAGUACUUUUAUGAAUUAUAAUAAACUGAAGAGCAGAUCGUUAUCUGUGUUGUUGGAAUGGUAAGAAUGUUGCUAAUUUUUUUUUUCCUCAAAUCUCAUAUCUUGUUACAGUGUGCAAAUUUGUAGCGUAUGUCAAUCACAAAGGGGUCACUAUCCAAAGUUUUUCCGUAACAUUCUAGUUGAUGUCUCUGCAUUUUAUUCAUUGUAUAUAACAAACUUUUUUUUUUGGUUUAAAAGGAAAAGUUAUUUUUGUCUCUUAUUCUUAUAUGCAGGCAGAUUGAAUAUAUUGUUUAACAUGUAUGCACAAUGUAGAACAU
rnacentral:misc_RNA from 1 species